rnacentral:rRNA from 1 species
UACGGAGGGUGCAAGCGUUGCUCGGAAUUAUUGGGCGUAAAGCGCACGCAGGCGGCGAGGUAAGUCAGUUGUGAAAUCCCCGGGCUUAACUUGGGGGCUGCAGCUGAUACUGCCUUGCUUGAGUACGGAAGAGGGGAGUGGAAUUCCCAGUGUAGAGGUGAAAUUCGUAGAUAUUGGGAGGAACACCGGUGGCGAAGGCGGCUCCCUGGUCCGAUACUGACGCUCAUGUGCGAAAGCGUGGGGAGCAAACAGG